rnacentral:rRNA from 1 species
AGUGAACGCUGGCGGUAGGCCUAACACAUGCAAGUCGAACGGCAGCACAGUAAGAGCUUGCUCUUACGGGUGGCGAGUGGCGGACGGGUGAGGAAUACAUCGGAAUCUACUUUUUCGUGGGGGAUAACGUAGGUAAACUUACGCUAAUACCGCAUACGACCUACGGGUGAAAGCAGGGGAUCUUCGGACCUUGCGCGAUUGAAUGAGCCGAUGUCGGAUUAGCUAGUUGGCGGGGUAAAGGCCCACCAAGGCGACGAUCCGUAGCUGGUCUGAGAGGAUGAUCAGCCACACUGGAACUUAGACACGGUCCAGACUCCUACGGGAGGCAGCAGUGGGGAAUAUUGGACAAUGGGCGCAAGCCUGAUCCAGCCAUACCGCGUGGGUGAAGAAGGCCUUCGGGUUGUAAAGCCCUUUUGUUGGGAAAGAAAAGCAGCAGGUUAAUACCCCGCUGUUCUGACGGUACCCAAAGAAUAAGCACCGGCUAACUUCGUG